UUUAUGUUACUCAGUUUUUUUCUCCGUCUUGGUUAUUUCAUUAUAUAUAUAUUGGGACUAACAUUGUUACCAUCAACUACAACCGGCCAACAACUACAUUCCUCCGUACACCAAAAAACAGAGUUACACAGGGCAGAAGAAACUAGACAAAACAAAUGAAGCAUUUUUUUCUAAUCUCGAUCAAACUCGGCCUUUCAUCUACCUUUUUUCUCCUCUUUUCCUUGAGAAACCAGUCAAAGACCACGAGUUUCAUUAGCAAAAAACUCAAACAGCUAAGAAGGAUGACUUCUCGCCACAUAAGAGUUUAUCAAUCUAUACUUUGUGACACUUUAGACAGUGAAAAAAGUUUCUCUAUUUGCUUCUCUAGUUACCACCAAUAGUUCCAAUCUUUGAUCCCUCACAAUUCUUUUCCAUCUUAGAUCUAUUGGAAAGGAAUUAAAGAAGGAUGGCCACGCUUGCGGUCGUACCGUGGCUCCGAAUAAAUCUUUAAAUUUCCCUGCAAAAAUGAUUUUUGAUUGUCUUUGGCUCCUCAUGCUUUCAAGAGCCCCACAUCAUAGCCACAAACUUUGCAUCUUCCCAUAUAUUGAUCCCUGAAAAAGUUCUUCUAUUGUGACAAAGAACCAUUCCUUUUUCAUUUCUUAACAUCCACACUCCCCCUAUUAGACCUUUGCUUUUGGAAUACUCCAAUCCAACAUUAUACAUCACCCAAUCUGAUUCCAGUGGAAUCCAUUUGCGCUGGGUUGAAGGAUGCGUUGACAUCUCUGCUCUUGAGCAUUAUUCAUCCACCAAUUGCGCCACAAACCACUCAUUUGCCUCUUGAUUCGCAUUUUGGACCAGUUCCACAUCGUUGUAACAUCUCUCUUUAAAUAACAUCUCAUUACUUCUUUUCCAGAGAUUCGAAAGGAGCCAAAGCCAUACUAUUUUGUGUUCAUCACUCAAAUGUUUGAGAGCCCUCAGAUUGAGUAGAAAGUUUAAGUUAACAAAAACAGAAACAUCAUCAAACUCACUUUUCGGGUUAGGAGUGGUAGAUACAUCCCAUACUUGCCUUGCAUAAGAGUAUUCAAACAAUAUAUGAUUAAUUGAUUCAUCCUCUCCCCCACACGUUUGACAUCGUUGGUCUACUUUCAUACCUCUAGCAUUGAUCAAGUCAGCCGUUGAGAGAGCAUCCUCAUCGAUUUCGAGAGAAAAAUUCUUAUCUUUGAAACCGUUUGAACUUUCCAUACUUUCUCUUUCAAGGCACUAAGGGAUGGAAGCAUGAAUAAUUCUAGAAGGUUUUUCUCCGCUUUCACAGUAGAGGCGAGCCAAUACGCAGAUUUCACUGUAAGUUGACCACUUUUAUUGUACAUCCAAGUGAAAUAAUCCGAUUUCUCCACCAUUGGUUGGUUCAGCAAAAUUAACUCAACAUCUCCUUGCACAAAGACCUCCGCUAGGCUAAAGACAUUCCAUCUUUUUUGUUUCUGAAUCAAUGAGCGAAUCCACCAUUAAGUUUACAUUGAACCACUCAUUUUGAUCCAUGGUGCUCUGAGUCCUUCUUCCGGAUAAUCAACCCACUUGUCUAGCCAUACUCUUGUAUUUUUUUCCAUUUUCUAUCCUAUGGCUCAGUCCUUUUUUUUAGUAAAUCUUGACCAAACAUCAGAUUUUUCCAAGCAAAGGAUGGUCUGUCCCCCAUUGACGCUUCUAAGAAUUCUCCAUUGUUGAAGUACCUACUCUUUAGGAACCGAGACAACAAGCAGUGAGGUUGAUUUAAUUUUUUCCAUGCUUGUUUAGCCAAUAAGGCUUGAUUGAAACACUCAAGACCUCCAAAACCAUCCCUUCAAAAUUUUUCGGCAAACACAUCUUCCCCCAAAAUAUUCAAUGAAUUUUCUUCUUAUGUGCGUCAGUACCCAUAGAUAAUCCGCCAUCACACUAGAUAAGAUUUAUAUUAAGGACUUUGGUAACCGGAAGCAAGACAUGGCAAAAACAGGGAUCCCUCCAGUUGUUGAUUUCAGUAAGACCUCUUUUCCUCCCUGAGAUAAAUGUUGAAGGUAUCAGCCGUCUAAUCUUCCUUGUGUUAUGUCCUUAAUGUAUGAUAACAGCUCCACUUUAGAUCCUGAGAAACACUCUGGAAGUCUUAGACAUUUGCUUGCACCACCUUCGUUGACAAUUCCCAUAAUGCUAUGAAUCUCUCUUCUCACUUCAUCUACCACUUUCUCACCAAAGGAGAUGGAGGACUUUUGUAGAUUUAUGUUCUGACCUGUCGUUGCUCCAUAAUAUUGCAAAAUUUGAUGAAGAACCAAGGCCUGAUCCGGAGAAGCUUUGCACCUGAACAUGCUGUCGUCCGUAAAUAGUAAAUGAUGAAUUGCAUGACAUUCCACCAAGAACUGCAGACUAUUAAACAAGCCAUUUCUUUCAACAACAUUCAGCAAAUGAGUGAGCCUCUCAAUGCCUAAUACAUACAGAAACGGGAACAAUGGAUCGCCUUGUCCAAUACCCCGUUGUGGAGUUAUCAACCUAAAAGGUUGGUCAUUCAUUAAAACUGCAAAGGUGACUGAAGUCAUGCACAUCAUAACCAACUUAAUAUAUUUCUGAUCAAAGCCAAGUUCUUGCAUUAGAUUCCUCAUAUAGGUCCAUUCCACACGAUCGUAUGCCUUAGACAUAUCAGUCUUAACCGCCAAGAAUUCUUUCGAUGACAAUGUUAUCAGAAAUAUUUCUCUCGCUUAUGAAGGCUGAAUAAUUUACUAACACCAGGGAUUUUAGGAAUGAUUGAAGCCUUUUAACAAGUAUCUUGGAUACUGUUUUAUAUAGCACCGAACAAAGGCUUAUCGGCCUCAGAUCAAUCAUGUGCUCUGGUUGUGAUACUUUCGAUAGUAAGCACAAGUAGUUGAGGUUCCAUUUCUUAGGCAUCCCCAUUUUAUCAAAGACUUCAUGUAUUUCUUUCGUAACUUUUUCUCCAAUUGAUCCCCAAUACUACUGAAGAAGGCUCCAGUCAUGCCAUUAGGACCCGGUGCAAUGUCUGCGUUAAUGGAGAAGAUCAUUUCUUUCAUUUCCUUUUUGGAGACUCCUCUCGAUAAAGAGUUGUUCAUUGCAUCUGAAAUUUUUGGAGUAAAGCUCUCGAACGUUGGCUCAUAGGGACUCAGUUUGGAAGACUUGAAAAGAUCAGUGAAAUAAUCCAUAACUAUCUCAACUUUAGCCCCAUCUGACCAUUGAUCUUGAUUGUUCUUAUCCUUUAGUUUCGUAAUGUGAUUCCUGGAUUGGUUGGUUUUGACAUAACCAUGAAAAAAUUUAGAACUUCGAUCCCCGAACACUAACCACUUGUCACGACUUUUUUGACGCCAAAACAUUUCCUCUUCCUUGUAUGCAUUCAUCAACUCUUUCUGAACAAUCUCUAUCAUGAAACGACAUGGGUAGUCACAAGACGUUCCAAUCUUUGUUGGAGUAAGUUGAUCUUGUCUUUUGCAUUGAAUUUCCUCUUUCUCUUCCAUCUGCUCAACGCCGUCCAGCAUUUUUUUAUUUUUGCAGACACUUUGCCAUUUCCAUUCCUGUUUCUUCUAUCCAUGCCUUCUCAAUUUCUUUUAUGACGUCCGGCUGACGAAAGAACCUCUUAUCAAAUCGAAACAGGCCUUUGAGUGGUUCCCGAGAAGCAUAUAAUCUAAGCCAAACUGGCCUAUUAUCAGAUGAUCUUUUCUCUAAAAAAGUUUGAUUAGUAUCCGAGAAUAAUUCGGACCAAGCUUUAUUUCCAAAGAUUCGAUCCAGACAACAUUGAAUCCAUUUUUUCAUCUCUUACCACCUCAAGUAAACCUGUCUCCAACUGUUGAACUCUUCUAUCUUACGGCAGUGCAACAUUUCAGAUAAAGGUUUGAAGGAGGCCUCAUGGCUUCUUGGCCCACCUGGUUUUUUUGCCAUUGUUUAAUAUUUCAUUAAAGUCUCCUAUAAUGCACCAAGGUUCCUUCCUGACACAAUCCCAUCAGCUGAGUGGGAGAGACGUGUUAUGGGUGACCUUAUUGCAUGGUCUCUCCUACACCACAUCACGACCUUCAGUUGAUGGUUCUCUAUAUAUACAUAAGGUGAACUCACCAAACUGAACUGAACAAAAUAGUCAGUGAUAUUCUUAUUUGCAAAUUUAACAUCAAUUUUUAUGUUUUUUCCCACAAAAGGGUUAAUCCUCUACCCAAACCAACAAAAUUAAUAGUAAAAACACCAUCAUAACCCAACCAAACUUGCAAACCAACCAACAAAUUCCGACAAUUUUUUGUUUCCAUCAAAAAUAAAAUCUUCGGGAAAAGAUUUGGACGCAUUUUCAUCAGUCUCUGAAUUGUCAAGUGUUGAGGCCGCUCCAAUCUUUGAAAAUUCUAACUCUUAAUGCUCUUUGGGAAGAGGGCAAUCCCUCAUUUGGGAUCACCUUAAGGAAUUUGGCCUUGUUGGUGGAGACAUCCUCUGCUCCUUGACUUGUCUUCUUCCUCUUUUUGACCCAACUUCUUGUUUCCCUUCUCAUCUCACACAACUCUGAACUCCAUCCUCUACAUUAAGUGCCAACUGAUUUCUAUGUCUUUGCACUCCUGAAGGUCUUCUUCUGACUGGAACUCGUUUUCUAAUUGUCCCGGAAGAGCUAGGUUCCAAGAAACCAGCCCGAAAGACCAUUGGACUGUCAGACAACAUGCCUUGAAAAUUUCCCUCCGAGUUUAUUUGAGUCCGUGAUGUUACUCAGAGGUACGAUUAAGGCAUACAUGUUUCUGCUCGCUUUCAUUGAUGCAGCCAUGAAUUUGUUCGGGUAGACAUUAAGAUCCCAGUUGCAUCUUUCAAUCUCUAUGUCUCAAUAGUCAAACACCAGACCUUUGCCUUUGUUCAGCUCUGUUGUUAUGACCGGCGCAGCGGCACUGAUUCCAGUGUCCACACUGUCCUUUGCGCGAUGAGAUCCCUCUCUGCUUCUCUCACUGAUAUCUUUACUUUGUCAACCUUUAUCGCUAAACCUUCACCCGUGUGAGAAAUUAGGAAACUUCUCAUUUUCUCUAGAACCCUAUUUGCUCUUCUUCCAACACUCCAAACAAGGGAUAAUUGUGAUAUAGAUUUGCAACCACUUUGUUUUUCUAAGCAAUAGUCUUUGUUUCACCGCCAAAGGAAAAAUAUUUUUUUCAUGGUUCAAUCUCUUGCAGGUAAAGCAGUGUUUCUGCAACUUUUCGUAGUCGAAGUGGAUAGUAUGCGUUUUACCUCCAUCCAUGUUAAGAACUUUCGCCACAUUGAAGCGAACUUGAACCCUGAUAAAUGGUUGCGUGAUGGGUUUCGACGGAUCGAACACAACUAAUUUUACCUCCCCUAUCAUUUCCUCUAGCGUCACCAGAGCAGAAGGAGUAUAGUAUUUUAAAGAAAUCUUGUUCAUCUAAACCCAUAGUUAUAUACUUGAGAUAAUCAUCUGGUGGAUUCUCCAUCCAACCAGAGCCCGCUCAUUAUAAGUUUGAACUCCUUUCUCUUGCACAUCAAGCAAAUCAUGAUCAACUUGGAAGAUAAACUAAAAAUUUCUUCAGACAUAGCCACUCCCCUCACUCUUCUUUCUUUUUGCCACUUUAUUGGUAUGGUAAGUGAGGAUCCUAAAACCCACACUAAGUAUUUGAUAGUGUUGGAAUGUAAAAACUAGGGAAGAAAAAGGGAGUGGGCAACGAUAUCCUUAGAACACUACUAUUUAAUCAGAUUCCGGUCGACGAAAAUGGAAUUUUAUUGAUUAAGUAGGGUUGAAUACAAUAAGGGAAUAAGAUCGAGGCUAUAAUUGAGAUUGAGUACAAGAAAUUAACUAAAACGAGCUAUAGUGAGGUCGAUGUAUGUAGGUCUCUCUCUAGGGUUUCACGUGUCUUUUCAUCUCGAUCUUGCCUCCUUCUUAUAGUCGCACUGCUCCGAGAUCUUCUCAACGAUCUCCCUGGUUCUUUGGGAUCUCAAAUUCGAAUGUCGGUUCUGCGCUGCAAUCCCUUUCACUCCUUGUUGGGCUCGUCUCUUUUAUGAGCCCAUGACUUGACCAAAAUUGGGUCCAACAUUUGUCCUCCAGUCUCUUUCUUUUCAGCUAAGAAAAUAAAGAGGCGAGCAUUCGAUCCAGACCUGGAUGAAAUCCGAUUUAAAUGUGAUUUCUGGCUACCUUUUAUCUCGCGCGUUUCUACCUUUUAUCUCGCGCGUUUUUUUUUUGUUUUUUUCUUUUUUGGUCCCAACGGCUAUAUGUAUUAUCCUAGGGCGAAUCCUAGCUAAUCAUUAAUUUUCUCGAUUGUAGCGAUAAAGUCGUUUGUAGCCGUUGUGGUCUUUAAAUAGCCAACAAGAUCUUAGUUUCUUCCUCUCGCUUCAGAUUCUCUUUCUUUAUCUCUUUAUCUCUACGAUUUUUGGUUUUUGAUUGUUGAGUUUUCUUCAAAAUGAAAAAAUCGUUCUCUUUUCCUCUUCCAACCAUUACAAACGUUCAUCUCGAGAAUUUGUAUAAGACGCAUAGUGUUGAUCGCGCAGUCAAGUUUGAACUAGCUUCGACGUUUGAAACUUCCGAAACUGUUCGUGGAGGGUACUGUGGAGCCUAUCUUACUUUUUUGAGACUUGCGGCCUUUCUUUCCUGAUUAUGGAGCCUAUCCUUAAUGUGCUUGCGGAGCUUGGUUUAUCGUUUACUCAUAUGCGUCCUAAUUUUCUUAGACAUCUCUUAGCACUCAUAGUUUGGGCUCGGCAAGAAGGUUUGUUAUUUGGUCUUGAUGAACUUUGCCACCUCUGUUUGAUGAAGCAGAACAAUCAGAACCCGGGAACUUUCCUUAUGUCUCCUCGUACGGGUCGUCAAAUCAUAGAAGGGGUUCCAUAACGAGAUGAAAAGUGGUGAGAGAAACUUUUCGUUUUUAAGGUUGAUCAAGCGUCCAUGGGAAACUUCGAUUUCUCUAAGCUUCCGCGAAGAUGGGUCGACGAUAUAGUACAUUUGGGGAGUUCCCCUAUGUCCGCCAAGCUUCGCGGACUGAUCGGCGUUCUUCGUGAUGUCGUCCUCACUGUUCAUCAUUCGACCGAGCUCGUAUUCGAGCUGCGUUUAUGCUUCCAUGCGGAGAGGGUAUAGCUCCAGCGAUCCAGAAAGCUGCAAAAGUAUAUUAACUCGUCCUUUUGCUUUGGGAGAUGAUGCAACCCCUUCUUUGCACUCGUGUUCCUCUGGUAGGCUAGAAGGCGGUUAUCUACGAGGUCGUCGUUUUGAACUGCCAGAUUUCCAUCAGGGAGCGGUGCUGCGGAGAAGACUCCUUUAGUAUCGAUCCACGACUCUGGAGAGGAUACUUCUUCUACUGUACGAGAAUCUCUUGUUUCUCUAAACUCUGGGUGGCAGAAUGAAUUCGUUACUUCUAAAUGUAAGCGACCUCAAUCAACUAAGGCUGUUUCAUCAGAGCCGCUUCAGGUCGAGCUCUGGGCCCAAGGGUCGAAGCAUUGGGAAUUUGCCUCCCCACUGAUGGUCUUCUAUCUAUGACUGAGGAUGACCUUGUUCGCCUCGCUCGGUGUACGAGGCCUCAAAGUUGUCGUCCACUCUUGCUUCGCCGGAAUAGAGAAGCGCCUAUGCUAAGCUGGAUGCGGCAAACUCAAAGGAUUGUAUGUGUGCUCUUCAGGAUGAGAAGGAGAUAAAGAAUGAGAGGUCGGAGAUUCAAAGGCUCAUGGAGGAGCUUCGGGCUGCUAAAGAAGAAAACAUGAAGAAGAUCGGUGAGGUAUUAAUUCUAAAGUAUGAGUGGAAAAGGGCCCGUCGUGAAAGGAUGCUGCUUGCGGAGCUCUAGGCCGAUCGAGAUCGAGAUGUUCGCGGAGCUUCUCGUGCCUCACGUCCUGAGGUUGCGGACAAUUAUAGAGAAGUCUUAGUCUCUCUAAAGGAAAGAUGGGUGAGUAAGAAGAGAGAAGAAGCUGCGGAGAUUUAACUCUAUGAAGUUUCCGCGAACAUCGAUCUGCUGAACGAGAUCAAAGACGGAGGGCUGGUCGUAGAGGAAGAGCUCAUUCGUCUGAAGUAAAUGGAGAAGGAUUUCGAGGCCGCAGUCGAAUUGGCCGUCGUUCCUGAUUGGUCUUUUUCUGGUCUAGGCCUCCCUCAGGUUUCAGAGGAUUUGGUUGAUGGCAAUCGAGCUGGACCGUCGUCCGCUGGAGAAGAAGCCAGUUCUUGUUAACAUCUUUGUAUUUUUUAUUAUUGUUUUUUUAGAUCGUGUAUCGGCUUUUCUUGUUUUCCUCUUCGACUUCAUGGAUCCUUCCUGAUUUUUCUUUUGUCUGAAAGGAUAAUUGCAGAUUUCAUGAUAUAUUUCCCUAUUAGGUCCUCGAGAUUUUAUUAUCCCCUUUGUUGAAAAGAUACCCGAGCAUCUUUGGCUUUAUAAAAGUCACUGCAUCUUGCUUUGGUUUUUUGUUCAUAAAGUUCUUCUUCCUUCUUGCAAAAGAUAGAUGGCAUUGAGGAAACGAGUUCGCGAGAAUCCGAAAGGAUACAAAAUCGAACUGGGGGUGCUGGGUCGGAGAGGAUUCGAUCCAGUGAUGUGAGUGAUGCGCUCGCAGAAGUCCUUCGUGAAGAGACGCGACUUCCUCGUGCGUCGGCCCACCUGGAUGGAAAAGACCUUGAUGGAAAGAAGACAGCAGCUCGGCCUAAUUCGAAGAGUCUUAAUGGUUUGGAAGGGCGAUAUCGGCCUCCAAAGAAGGCAAAUACAACCGGUGUUGACCACAAAACUAACCCUUCGAAUGAUGGUGCUGGGCCGAAAGCCGUUUCAUUGGCAGUUCUCUUAUUCCAAGGAUUUCCCUAUCACCGAGGACCAAGAUAGCGUUGCUCAUUUGGUAAGGAAUUUCAAACCGGCUGGGUGUAUGCUCCCUUCUUUAUGAAACACGACGGAACGUGAAGUGUACGUAAAGAUGGUGGUUGCUCAUGCCAAGGUUCAGCUGUAUUAUUUGGGUCUUGAACUUCUUUGAGUUGUAUAUUUUCAUACUUGUUAUCAUGUUUUUAAGCCAUGGAAGCUAACAACGAAUUUGCAGCAACCUUAGAGAACCGUUUGCAGGAUGUCCCACGUUCUGACGAACUUUACAAGAUCAAGAAAGUCGUCCGCGAGUUGAAGCUUAGUUUGAAGGUGGCCCAGGAUCGAGAGCGGGCUGUUGAGAAGCUCGGAAACCAGGCCGCUUCUCUUGAAGCUCGUCUUCGAGUGGUGGGAAACGAAAGGAUGUAGGCUUUCGAGCAGGUCUCUUCGUUGGAGGCACAUAUCGAAUCUUUUGCGAUCGAACAUGCUGAUGACCUUCGUCGUGCAACUUAUGAGGCCAAGAAGAUUUUGGCUGAUAGUUAUUUGGAUGUCUUGAUCUCCCUGAAGGAAAAAUGGGAGAGGAAGAAGGUCACAACUGAUUGCGAGGCUCGUCUUCGAGAGGUAAUGGUGAAUAUUGAUCUUCUCAAGGAGAUAUUGAAUAACAACUUGCUGGCUUCGGACGAGUUAUCGCGUCUUCGGGCUAUGGAGGUCGAGCUCGGGGCUGAACUUGAUGUGGCUUUGGUAUCGAACUUCUCGGUUGGGAAGUUAGAUCUUUCUCAAGUACCAGUGGAUUUACCAGAAGAGUUUUUUGCGAAGAUCCCUUAUGAGGCAGACAAUCCGGACGGUCGCCCAGGGCGUUUGGAUGGUCGUGGGGAUGCCAAAUUAGAAGUUCGAGACUAGGAGAUUCUGUUUCUUGUUUUUGAUUAGAGUUCUUUUUGUAUUUUACUUUAUUAAUAAAGAAAAAGACCCGCAAUUUUAAUAAUGAGGGAGGACCGCAAGUUCUUCUUCUACUUCGUUUUCUUCUGAGUUCGAGGCCAAUUAUUUUCCUUUUUGGGGCCAUAGAUCGAGCGAGUAGAUAUUGCGUCGACGUUGGAUCAGUGUAAUAAUAUUUUGACUGACACGUUUUGGCCGCAUUGUUGCGGGACUGGUGGUUACUCGAUGACUUUAUCAAGGUCCCGAGUGGCAAUCAGCCGUUGUUCGUUUGAGUUGUUAGACAGAUGGGUAAAGCUAUAAAGAAAUUUUUUGAUUUUAUCUUAAGAAAAGAUCUGUUUAUUCUUGAUAGGGGAUGACCCUUUUAACAGACAAGGAGACUUCUCUUGAUUUGCUGUUGAGGUUGAACCUUCUAAAAUUACUUCGCUCGAGCUACUCGCCUGGGCUGUUGCCAGUUCUCGCGGUUUCGUAUCGAGGUUUGUGAAGUGUGUGUUUUGUGGUUUGUUGUUGGUGGGUGACUGAACUCGUGUUUCGAGCUGCCUACGUACCCUCGGCGAGGGAUCAAAUCUUAUCGUAGUUCGGUUAUUUCCUCUGUUAUAGGGUCGUUGGGUUCUAUUAUUCGUGUACUUAAACUGGUACGAUUAUUUUGCAUAUAUUCAGGGUGAUGCUUCAGUUAGGGAGCGAAUCGAUGUCCUUGAAACUAGCGAGAUAACAAGUUUUGGAGUUCUUUUGACUUCCCCAGAUGGUUUCGAUGCCUUUUGGUGUUGGGAAUUUCAGGCAUUGGUGAUAGGCUGAUGGUACUGCUUUCAUGUUGUAUAACCAGGGUCUUCCUAGGUUGGCGUUGAACGGAGCAGGGCGGUCUAUUACGAUGAAAUCGACGAUCUUUCUUACGUCUCCAGCUGUCCCAGCAAGUUCGAUCGAUCCAAGGGAGUAGGUGAUUUCUCCGGCGAAACCGAUUAGUGAGGUCCGUUCUUGUUUGAGAAGAGUCUUUGUAAACCUCAUUCUUUUGAAGGCGUCAUAGAAAAGGACGUCGGAGGAACUGUCGGUAUCGACCAUGACCCGGGAUAAUUCGCAUCCCCUGACGUCAAGUCGUAUAACGAGGGUGUCAUCAUGCAGUUUGUCGAGGUACGCGGUCUCGUUUUCGUUAAAGGUUAUCUCGUGGUCAGGACCUGAUAGGGGUUCUCGGAUUACGAUUCUUUUUUGGCCUUCCAUUGAUAGGCCUUGAUUGAAUUGACCGAGUUGCAAAAUUUCGAGCCCUCGUAAAUGAAGUAGAUUUGCCUUUCGGACUUGUUCUUGUCCAUUGCUGGUUGUGAUUGAAUGGUCGCAUGUUGGUGCUAUUAGCCUUUCUAAGAGUUCUCGGAAUCUUUGCACCAUGUUGGUGUGUGUUGUUCUGGCUUCUUUCCGAAAGUGUUUCAACUCUUUCAGUUAAUGAGAUUGGGAGAUAGAAGUUUCGUCGUGGUUUCUGAGGUUCUGGAUUGUUAUUGUGAUAUUCACAUAUGCUGCUUCUUUUAACUCGGACCCGGAGUGGUCGUAUGUUUCGUGUAUGUUUCCCCAGAAGAUCAUGUAGACUCUUUUCUUGGGUGCUGGAGGAGGUGAAUUUGGUGAUUAGUUUUCGGCUUCUCUACUCCUUUUGUUAGAGGCAGCUUUUGCUUUUCCGUUAUUCUUUGGGGUCGAUGGGACCUCUUCCUCCUCGAGAUUUUUGUCGUUUUCUUUAUUAUCUUCUUUGUUUCGGAGUGCUGCUCUGCAUUCCUCAGUCGAGUGUCCCUUUCAGUUGUGGAAGAUGCAGUGCUUGUUAGGAUUGAAAGUCUACGGUUUCUUCUGUGGCAAGUUAUUUAUUGCAAAGGAAUGCUGUCCAUGAGUUGCUAUUUCUUUGGUUACGGGAAUCUUUCUGCUGUUGUGUUUUUUUGUUCGCGUUGUACUCUUCUUUUAGGGCGGCUACUUCUUUUUCGUGGGAAGCGAAGUAGGAGGCCCGAUGUAGCGCAUCGUCGAGCCAAUAAGGAGCUCGGACUAACAUUUCCUCCUUGAAUUUGAAUGAAAACCAAACACCAUUUUUCAAGGCUGCUAGAGCCACACCUUCGUUUAGGUAUGAAAUCUUUGGUUUGAUUUCUCUAAACUUGUUGAUGUAAGCUCUUAGUGGUUCGAAUAGUGCUUGUCUAAGGCUCCAGAGAUUGGCUUUGGUGGCUCUUGUUUCUAUGAAGACCAAAUACUGCUUUAGAAUGCAGAUACUAGCUGAGUGAAAUUGUGAAUGGAGUUUCCUUCGAGGCCGACAAACUAUUCCAAUGCAGAGCCGAAAAGAUUUUCUGCGAAGAAGCGGCAAUAUCCUGCUUCCUUUUCGUCGUCGUGUAAAUGUGCCCUAGAUAUUGCGAGCCUGAAAGCUCGAACAUGGGCUUUCGGGUCGGUAUUUCUAGAAUAUUCGAGGAACUUAAUUUUCCCUACGUCGUGUAGUGUUACGAUUGCUAUUCUGUUUGUGAAGGGAGUCCUUCUAGUUUCUUCUAAUCCUUUGUCGAUGUUGGGAGCUGUGCUUGUUGCCAUAUGCAUGAUGUGGUGUAUUGUUCUUAGCUCGGCGUUGUUCCUUUCAAUGUAGUUUUGGAAGGUACUUGCUUCUUCUGGGAUUCUCAUUUCUUCCCUUCAAAAUGCCGGUGCAUCCCGUUUUGCCUUGGAUUAUAGGCGGGCUUGGUUUGCUGAGUCUGAAAUGCAUCUCUUAUGGGUGGAACCCGAUUGUCGGGAAUCCUGAAGUCCAUUGGGGAUCCUCGAGGCCUUGUUUCCUCUGGCCUUUCGGUAGACAUGUUCUGGGUCUGGCCCAGAUGGCUUUGUGGUCCCUGGGUCCUGGUAUGUACCUCGUUGAGUCCGCUGUAGUUCAAACUUUGGUAGGCCAAGCCGGGUUGGGAGGUUUUCUGCGAGCUUUCUCCUUCAUAACGUCCAGAUCGAGCACACGGAAAUUCCGGCGUGCCAAGGACUCUAGCAUUUCCAAAGAUCGGAGUCCGGUUUUUCAGAUCUGGGCAAUUCUCUGCUCUUUCUCGUGCUUCGGCUCGAUGCGCGUCGAGUUCCCUUUUUGUCUGUUCCAAUCGGUUUGCGAUGGUGUGGUAAGCGACCUCCUGAUCUCGAGACUUGUCAAUGAGUGUUGAAACCAUUCCUCGGAGUUCAGUUACCUCUUCCCUGGUUUGGGAUUUUGCCGUGGGAGAAAUCGGCCUUGUUGAUUGGUUCCGAGUAGUUGGAUCAUUGGCGGAUUUCCUCUCUCCUGAUCGGUUUCAGACUCGCUGCGCUGGUUCGUUUUGUGAUCGAGAUACCCGUUCCGCCCGCUAGGGGGGGAACUCGUUGCGUCUGGGUUAAUUCGGCUUGUCCGAUCGGGUUGGUUUGCCCCGCGGGCAGCAUUUUUUUUCUUGGAUCGGAUCUGGUUGGAUCGACGUCGGAGGUUCGUGGUUCAAUUGAACCAGAUUGGUUUUGAGCGGGGAUCCAUAGUCGUGCUUAGUAGCCUUAGAUCGGAUUCUUAGCAAAGAUGUUUUCGUUUUUCUUACCACAGUCGGCGCCAAAAUGUGGAUCCUAAAAUCCACACUAAGUAUUUGAUAGUGUUUGAAUGUAAAAACUGGGGAAGAAAAAGGAAGUGGGCAACAAUAUCAUUAGAACACAACGCUUUAUUAGAUUCUGGUUGACGAAAAUGGACUUUUAUUGAUUAAGUAGGAUUGAAUACAAUAAGGGAAUAAGAUCGAGGCUACAAUCGAGAUCGAGUAUAAGAAAUUAACUAAAAUGAUCUUAUAGUGAGGCCGAUGUAUGUAGGUCUCUCUCUCUAGGGUUUCACUUAUCUUCUCAUCUCGAUCUUGCCUCCUUCUUAUAGUCGCACUGCUCCGGGAUCUUCUCAACGAUCUCUGUGGUUCUUCGGGAUCUCGACUUUGAAUGUCGGUUCUGGGCCGCAAUCCCUUUCACUCCUUGUUGGGCUCGUCUCUUUUAUAUGCCCAUGACUUGACCAAAAUUGGGUCCAACAGUAAGAACUAGACCUGACAUUUUGUGACAUUCAGGGUUAAGAGUUCUCCCUACACUAAGAGUAUUUUCUUCUACCGAGCUGAAUCCAAGUAACUCAGGCAUCAUUAACGGCAGAUCUUCUUCUUCGAGUGAUAGAGCCAUAAGAGCUAUGUCCAUAGCAGCAUACAUCUUGAUUUUUGUCUUAAACUGAAAGAUCUCAGAUUCAGAAUAAAUGUUUAACCACCAAGCUUUCAAUGCUCAAAAACAAACGAAUAGAAACACCUCAGAUAUUGUGCCCAAAAUACAAAAUAUAGUAAUAAAAUAAGAAAGUGCUUUUUUUUUAGUUAGUAACGUGUGUAAUAUGCUUGGCCCAAUCCUAGAUGUAACAAGACACGAGCCCCAAUGUGACUAAACUUAAGCCCACAAGGGUUUAUUAGAGAGCACAUUUCUCGCUCUACUUUCUCUCCUCUGAGCUAUGCUUUAUGAUCCAUAAAUCAUUUUAUACAGUUAUACUUGAUGAAAUAUUUACCCCCUAUAUGUUAUAGGAGAAACAUUCUUAAUAAGUAAUCUUUAAAGUGCAAAUUAUUCACAAGAUUGUUAUUAUGCUGAUGUGUUAGCACAAAGGCACUUCUCACAUUCUCCAUUUAAAUUACCCUUCUUUUACUAGAGUAUUUGCAUAAAAUGACAUUGGACAUCAUUAAUAUAAUAUCCCUUAAUAUAAGAGUAAUAUAAGAAUAAUUAACACCAGAUGAAAGUUUUUUAUACUAAUGUUUGUUCAUUAAAUGGUUUUAACAUUUUGCAACAUUACAUUUUUUAUCGAUUGUAAAAUGACGAAUACAAAUGUUGGUCUCUUAAAUGUAUCAUUGUUGUUGAAGAGUUAACGUAUCAUGGUUCAUUUUAAUUAUUUUUAAGACUUCACGUGCACAAAAGAAAAUUAAGUUUUACCGAUGACAUAAAUCACAAAAACCAGAUAUUCAGCAUCGAUUGUAAAAUGACGAAAAAGAAUUAGGUUUUCUGCUCGCGAUUUAUUUAUUGUUGACUCUCCACAAAUGAUUAUGUGGAAGAGAGAGAAUGUGACGUCGAAGGUUAAAAAGUAAAAACUAGAGUAUUGAAUAAUUGAACCACUGUAUAUAGUUUUAUAUAUUACAAAUUAUUGUACAAAUUAAAUACACAUAUUAUCAUUCAAAACCCAUUAGAAUUAGGCUCACACCAAGUAAGAAAGUGCGUUUGAGCAAAGCUUAAAUCUAAGCAAGCAGUAGAGCCUGCCACAGUACAGUAGGCUCAGACCACCUUCACGUGUGUAUGUAUUCCUUUGUUCCACGUAUGUUGCUAUGCAUUGUCUAGAUCCCACGAAAACGAAUUUCACAUGAACAAUAUCAGCAAAAUCUACUAUUUCUUAACAUUUUUGGCCUCACUGUCCUUGUAGGCACAGUUGUUAUUUCUUGUGGGUUUGUGUGCUAUCACCAAAUUAUCUCUUGAGCCCAAAUAAAAUUCAACAUGUAAACAGUUUUCUCUCCAUAACAAAUAAAGAUGAUUUCUUCAACUACUCUUUAUACUACUACAAUGCUUUACAUAGAAAAGAAAUUACAUAUAUUUUUCUUAUAUUCGUCCUAGCAUUGCUAUAAGAUAAGAAUAAUUGUUGGACAACUGUUUAUGCAGGCGUGAAAGAUAGUGGCUACGUAUAUAAGGGUAAAUCUUUCGUAAAUUUUACUAGACCGACCAAACAGCAAACCGUGGCAUUGCGAAGCGGUUCUGAUCUCUCUGAUUUUUAAUGUUACACUUUUGAAGGUUACCAAAACACGCUUUAGUUUUUUCUCCACAACAAAUAAAGAUGAUUUCUUUAGUUACUCUUUAUAUUACUAUUAUGUUUUACAUAGAAAAGAAAUUACAUAUCUUUUUUCU